AAUCAACGCUGGCGGCGUGCCUAACACAUGCAAGUCGCACGAGAAAGGGGAGCAAUCCCUGAGUAAAGUGGCGCACGGGUGAGUAACACGUGAAUCAUCUACCUCCGAGUGGGGAAUAACUGAGAGAAAUCUUAGCUAAUACCGCAUAACACUUACGAGUCAAAGCAGCAAUGCGCUUGGAGAGGAGUUCGCGGCCGAUUAGUUAGUUGGCGGGGUAAUGGCCACCAAGACGAUGAUCGGUAUCCGGCCUGAGAGGGCGCACGGACACACUGGAACUGAAACACGGUCCAGACUCCUACGGGAGGCAGCAGUGGGGAAUUUUGCGCAAUGGGGGAAACCCUGACGCAGCAACGCCGCGUGGAGGAUGAAGUAUCUUGGUACGUAAACUCCUUUCGAUUGGGAAGAUAAUGACGGUACCAAUAGAAGAAG
rnacentral:rRNA from 1 species